GGUGGGGGGGGUGGUCCUUCAGCCCAGAUUGUGAGAGGGUGCAGGCCAGGCCAAGGGACCCCACUGGUGCACG
rnacentral:pre_miRNA from 1 species